rnacentral:rRNA from 1 species
AACGUAGGUGGCGAGCGUUAUCCGGAUUUACUGGGCGUAAAGCGUGUGCAGGCGGGUGAACAAGUGGUGUAUGAAAUCGCUCGGCUAAACCGGCGGGUUAUGCCAGACUGUUCAUCUGGAGUGCGAGAGAGGGCGUGGAAUUCCGGUGUAGUGGUGAAAUGCGUAGAGAUCCGGAGGAACCCAGAGGCGAAGGCGGCGCCCUGGCUCGCAACUGACGCUCAGACACGACAGCA